AACGAACGCUGGCGGCAGGCUUAACACAUGCAAGUUGAACGGGAUUUGUUUGUAGCUUGCUAUAAGCAAUGAGAGUAGCGCACUGGUGAGUAACACGUGGGAACAUGCCUUUUGGUGGGGACAACAGAGGGAAACUUCUGCUAAUACCGCAUAAGCCCUAAGGGGGAAAGAUUUAUUGCCGAAAGAUUGGCCCGCGGAAGAUUAGGUAGUUGGUGGGGUAAAGGCCUACCAAGCCGACGAUCUAUAGCUGGUCUGAGAGGACGAACAGCCACAUUGGAACUGAGACACGGUCCAGACUCC
rnacentral:rRNA from 1 species